rnacentral:rRNA from 1 species
AUUGAACGCUGGCGGCAGGCCUAACACAUGCAAGUCGAACGGUAACAGGAAGCAGCUUGCUGCUUUGCUGACGAGUGGCGGACGGGUGAGUAAUGUCUGGGAAACUGCCCGAUGGAGGGGGAUAACUACUGGAAACGGUAGCUAAUACCGCAUAACGUCGCAAGACCAAAGAGGGGGACCUUAGGGCCUCUUGCCAUCGGAUGUGCCCAGAUGGGAUUAGCUAGUAGGUGGGGUAACGGCUCACCUAGGCGACGAUCCCUAGCUGGUCUGAGAGGAUGACCAGCCACACUGGAACUGAGACACGGUCCAGACUCCUACGGGAGGCAGCAGUGGGGAAUAUUGCACAAUGGGCGCAAGCCUGAUGCAGCCAUGCCGCGUGUAUGAAGAAGGCCUUCGGGUUGUAAAGUACUUUCAGCGGGGAGGAAGGGAGUAAAGUUAAUACCUUUGCUCAUUGACGUUACCCGCAGAAGAAGCACCGGCGAACUCCGU